GUGAAAGUGGUGCUGCAGGUCCAUUCUGAGAGAUCUUGUCAACAAGCAGCAGCUCAAGCUCCUCACCAGGCUGGAGGGCUUCCUAGAAGAGCAGGUCCCAGCACAGGGGGAAGACCUUCCCCUGCCGCGUGCCCCCGCUCUGUCUCCAACACCCUGGCUGGAUGCAAACGCAAGGGCUUGGAAGAAGAGGAACCAACCGCAGCACAGCUGCCCACCAAUAAGAGAGUGAAGGGGCAGAGCGGAGACAGCGUGCCGGCUCCAGCAGCACACCCUGGGCCUGCUGCAGCGCGGAGCUCCAAGCAAAGAGCAAGAAGACGGCGACAAAAAGAGAGGAGGGUGGAGCUGAAGAAGGCUGCCCUCAGAGCUGCCGCUGCACGUGCAGAGGCCUCCGCAGUGAACAGCCUCGUGGAGAUGAUG
ensembl:lncRNA